rnacentral:rRNA from 1 species
CAGCAGCCGCGGUAAUACGGAGGAUGCAAGCGUUAUCCGGAAUGAUUGGGCGUAAAGCGUCCGUAGGUGGUUUUGUAAGUCCGUGGUUAAAGCGUGUAGCUCAACUACAUAACGGCCAUGGAAACUACAAGACUUGAGUGAAGUAGGGGUAGAGGGAAUUCCCAGUGUAGCGGUGAAAUGCGUAGAGAUUGGGAAGAACACCGGUGGCGAAAGCGCUCUACUGGACUUAUACUGACACUGAGGGACGAAAGCUAGGGGAGCGAAAGGGAUUAGAUACCCCUGUAGUCCUAGCCGUAAACGAUGGAUACUAGGUGUUGCCCGUAUCGACCCGGGCAGUGCCGUAGCUAACGCGUUAAGUAUCCCGCCUGGGGAGUACGCACGCAAGUGUGAAACUCAAAGGAAUUGACGG